GAUGAACGCUGGCGGCGUGCCUAACACAUGCAAGUCGAACGGAGCUGCUUUGAUGAAGUUUUCGGAUGGAUUUAAAACAGCUUAGUGGCGGACGGGUGAGUAACGCGUGGGUAACCUGCCUCACACUGGGGGAUAACAGUUAGAAAUAGCUGCUAAUACCGCAUAAGCGCACGGUUCCGCAUGGAACAGUGUGAAAAACUCCGGUGGUGUGAGAUGGACCCGCGUCUGAUUAGCCAGUUGGCGGGGUAACGGCCCACCAAAGCGACGAUCAGUAGCCGGCCUGAGAGGGUGAACGGCCACAUUGGGACUGAGACACGGCCCAAACUCCUACGGGAGGCAGCAGUGGGGAAUAUUGCACAAUGGGGGAAACCCUGAUGCAGCGACGCCGCGUGAGUGAAGAAGUAUUUCGGUAUGUAAAGCUCUAUCAGCAGGGAAGAAAGUGACGGUACCUGAAUAAGAAGCCCCGGCUAACUACGUGCCAGCAGCCGCGGUAAUACGUAGGGGGCAAGCGUUAUCCGGAUUUACUGGGUGUAAAGGGAGCGUAGACGGCAAGGCAAGUCUGAAGUGAAAGCCCGGUGCUUAACGCCGGGACUGCUUUGGAAACUGUUUAGCUGGGGUGCCGGAGAGGUAAGCGGAAUUCCUAGUGUAGCGGUGAAAUGCGUAGAUAUUAGGAAGAACACCAGUGGCGAAGGCGGCUUACUGGACGGUAACUGACGUUGAGGCUCGAAAGCGUGGGGAGCAAACAGGAAUAGAUACCCCGGUAGUCCACGCCGUAAACGA
rnacentral:rRNA from 1 species